rnacentral:lncRNA from 1 species
GACCAUAAGCAUCUUUCAUCUCAUAAAUAUUACCAGCUUUGAAACUUUCUCCUGAGUCUGGAGCUGACUCCCUAACUCUUUUACUUCCAACAUUUCUAGAGGUUUGUGAUUCCGCGCCUCUGGAUGGAGGACCACCAACGCCAGAAGAACAUUUUUUUCAUGGGAAAGUCGUGCAUCUUUUUAUGAUUUCAAUUUCUUCUUUUAUCUUUUUAAUUUUGUAGAAU